UACGGAGGGUGCAAACGUUGCUCGGAAUCAUUGGGCGUAAAGCGCACGUAGGCGGCCUGAUAAGUCGGGUGUGAAAGCCCUGGGCUCAACCCAGGAAGUGCACUCGAAACUGUCAGGCUUGAAUAUGGAAGAGGGUCGCGGAAUUCCCGGUGUAGCGGUGAAAUGCGUAGAGAUCGGGAGGAACACCAGUGGCGAAGGCGGCCAUCUGGAUCAACACUGACGCUGAGGCACGAAAGCGUGGGGAGCAAACAGG
rnacentral:rRNA from 1 species